UUUUGUUCUGUUUCUGAGUGCCUACUAUAAGCCAGCACUGUUACAAACAUGGCGCUCAUUAUUCUCAUUUAUAGAUGUGAAAAACUAGGCCCAGAGAGGUUAAGAAACACAGCGAGUUCACACAGCUGAGCCAGCGUUGAAACCAUGGUUACCUCCCUCGGAAAAUUGACGCUUUCUUUUUCACAAAUCCACAACAGGUGGAGGUGGGGACGGCAGGAAAUGAGGGAUAAAUGGGGCGCCAAUACUCAGAUCUUGCCUGUCAGCUGGCAGGAGGAGUUUCGGAAACCCUUUCGGGGCUGCCCUAAACGAGUUGUUAUCUCUCCACUCUCUGCCUUCUUCGGGCACAAUUCAGGUUACGUGAUGGAAGAUACAGAUGGAGUUUUGCUUUUUAAAGUCCCAGGGAGAGCUGCGAUCACAGAGGGUUUCUCUGGUUCAGAUCCUGGGCGCGGACAUGGCACCACUCAUCAGGCCAUGCUGAGAUGGCAUCCUGCAUGCAAUGACUGGAAGGACCCACAACUAAGGUUCCACCAAAAUCCAUCUCCUGUGCCACCGGGGAGAGUGGGACACACUCUAGAGAGCCAGUUAAGAAGGAGGCUUAGUUCCACCUUUGCCAUCUCCUGGCUGUGUGACCUGGGGCCAGUGAGCACCUUGUCUUUCUCUUCACCUCAUCAAGUUGCUGACAUACAGCCUGUCAAAGGCACCCAGUCCUGGAAUUGCCCUCUGGAACUUUCUGGCCAAAUAGUCUUCCAGUCCUUGCUGGGCAGGGAAAUAGUCCUGUGCGGUGGCUGAACGAGCUCAGGACACUCCUGCACUUGUCCCAAAUCGGGCUCCUUACAGCAAGUCCUCUGCUCCUGGUUCUUGUCUUCAGAACUCAUCCAUCCUUUACAUCCUUUCAUGCCGUGGUGAUAGCUGCCAUGUACCUCUAGAG
rnacentral:lncRNA from 1 species